GGAAGGAUCAUUACAAAUGUUGAGGGUGUCCUCAGGGGCCCCCAAGCAAACACAUGCCUUGUGUAUUCCUCCUGCCGGUCCCUCAAUCCUUGCGUCGCAGUAGGGGCUGAGGUGCCCAGCGGAGGGCCCAUUUUUAACCCUUUGCUAAACCUGUCUCAUGAGAUGGCCCCGUGCCAGAAUCUUUAAACAUUUUAAAACUUUCAACAACGGAUCUCUUGGCUCUCGCAUCGAUGAAGAACGCAGCGAAAUGCGAUAAGUAAUGUGAAUUGCAGAAUUCAGUGAAUCAUCGAAUCUUUGAACGCACAUUGCGCCCUCUGGCAUUCCUCAGGGCAUGCCUGUUCGAGCGUCACUAACAACCAUCUCACAUGCAAUGUGGUCUUGGCUCAUGUGUAUAGCGCCUCCUGUGCUGACUUCACUAAGCUGAAAUGAAUAGGCCAGAUAAGCAAACCAUGGCAACUGACUCACAGAGUGUUUAACAAUGCUAAACUAGUCGGUACCUGGUAUGAAUCUGUGCCAGUGGACCCCCCCGUUCAUUCAAAUGAGACAUGUUGACCUCGGAUCAGGUAGGGAUACCCGCUGAACUUAAGCAUAUCAAUAAGCGGAGGAAAAGAAACCAACAGGGAUUGCCUCAGUAACGGCGAGUGAAGCGGCAAAAGCUCAAAUUUAAAAUCUGGCACUCUCAGUGUCCGAGUUGUACUUUGGAGAGGCAUCUUCUGGAGGGACCCAGCCUAUGUGCCUUGGAACAGGACGUCAUAGAGGGUGAGAAUCCCGUCCUUGGCUGGAUGUUCCCUCCUGUAUGUAGUGUCUUCUACGAGUCGAGUUGUUUGGGAAUGCAGCUCAAAAUGGGUGGUAAAUUUCAUCUAAAGCUAAAUAUUGGCGAGAGACCGAUAGCGCACAAGUAGAGUGAUCGAAAGAUGAAAAGCACUUUGAAAAUAGAGUCAAACAGUACGUGAAAUUGUUGAAAGGGAAGCGCUUGAGACCAGAGUCAACCUUUGGCAAACAAUUGUCCUUCUGGGCUGUGCACUUGUCAUUGGCUGGGCCAGCAUCGGUUGGGACGGCAGGAUAAAGGCCUUGGGAAUGUGACUCCCUUGUGGAGUGUUAUAGCCCUUGGUGCCAUGCUGUCAGCCCCGACCGUGGACCGCGCUUAGGCUCGGAUGCUGGCUUAAUGGUCUUCAGCGACCCGUCUUGAAACACGGACCAAGGAGUCUAACGUCUAUGCGAGUGUUUGGGCUUCAAACCCUUACGCGUAAUGAAAGUAAACGGAGGUGGGAAUCCUGCAAGGGAUGCACCAUCGACCGAUCCCG
rnacentral:rRNA from 1 species